CUGAUGUUUUGAUAAGGGUCUACUUAGAGAAAAAGUUCGAAAUAUGUCCUUGAACGUUAAUUUCCAAAGACGGUUUCUGAUUUGACAUUCUCAGCCACUUUACACUUUGGUUCAUAAUAGAAUUUUAAAGUUUUAGGCCUCACAGUACUCUAAAUAUUUCCAUUUUUCAGCCUUGGUCCACUUUUACUUUAUUUUAUUUAUUUUAGGAUAUUCACCGCAAUUUUUUUUUUUUUUUUUUAUUUUGCUUACAUAAACUACUUUUUCGCUCAAGCAUUUGACAGGGCAAAUUUUGUCAAUAUCUUGAAAAUAAUUCAAUGUAAAAUUUAAACUCCAAGAACACUACUUUUUUGGUUUUAGCUUCUUUUUCUUUUUCUCGUUUUUUUCUUGGUCACGGACCUCUACAGAAAGCAGCUAAAAUAUGAGCGCCAUAAUAAGCAGGCGACAAUAUUACCUCUGAUUUAUUACAUGCUAUUGCCUUUAGCAUUUUCCUCUGUAAUACGUCUCUGUUUUUAAAUAUUUUUUAUGCUCUAAUUGUAUAUUGCACCUAUGACAUAGCAUAACUAUAUUUUAAAUGACAAGCUUUUUCUACAAG
rnacentral:lncRNA from 1 species